UACGGAGGGGGCUAGCGUUGUUCGGAAUUACUGGGCGUAAAGCGCACGUAGGCGGACCAGCAAGUUGGGGGUGAAAUCCCGGGGCUCAACCCCGGAACUGCCUUCAAAACUGCGGGUCUGGAGGUCGAGAGAGGUGAGUGGAAUUCCGAGUGUAGAGGUGAAAUGCGUAGAUAUCUGGAGGAAUACCGGUGGCGAAGGCGGCAUCCUGGACCGGCAUUGACGCUGAGUGAGCGAAAGCCAGGGGAGCAAACGGG
rnacentral:rRNA from 1 species